rnacentral:rRNA from 1 species
GUUGUAUAGUCAAGUAAUUAAGUGCAUGUGGUGGAUGCCUUGGCAGUCAGAGGCGAUGAAAGACGUGAUAGCCUGCGAAAAGCUCCGGGGAGGCGGCAAAUAUCCUUUGAUCCGGAGAUGUCUGAAUGGGGGAACCCACCUACUUUAAGGUAGGUAUUGCAACAUGAAUACAUAGUGUUGCAAGGCGAACGAGGGGAAGUGAAACAUCUCAGUACCCUUAGGAAAAGAAAUCAAUUGAGAUUCCCUCAGUAGCGGCGAGCGAACGGGGAUCAGCCCAUUAAGUUAUGUGUGUUUUAGUGGAACGCUCUGGGAAGUGCGAACGUAGAGGGUGAUAUUCCCGUACACGAAAGGGCACACAUAAUGAUGACGAGUAGGGCGAGGCACGUGAAACCUUGUCUGAAUAUGGGGGGACCAUCCUCCAAGGCUAAAUACUCCUGACUGACCGAUAGUGAACCAGUACCGUGAGGGAAAGGCGAAAAGAACCCCUGUGAGGGGAGUGAAAUAGAUCCUGAAACCGCAUGCAUACAAGCAGUGGGAGCACCUUCGUGGUGUGACUGCGU